rnacentral:rRNA from 1 species
CCUACGGGGGGCAGCAGUGGGGAAUAUUGCGCAAUGGGCGAAAGCCUGACGCAGCGACGCCGCGUGAGGGAUGAAGGUCUUCGGAUCGUAAACCUCUGUCAGCAGGGAAGAACGGUCACUGUGCUAAUCAGCAGUGAAUUGACGGUACCUGCAAAGGAAGCACCGGCUAACUCCGUGCCAGCAGCCGCGGUAAUACGGAGGGUGCGAGCGUUAAUCGGAAUUACUGGGCGUAAAGCGCUCGUAGGGGGGAUGUCAAGUCAAGGGGGAAAUCCCCGCGGUCAACGUAGGAGCUGCCUUUGAAACUGGCAAACUGGAGUGUGUGAGAGGAGAGUGGAAGUCCAGGUGUAGGAGUGAAAUCCGUAGAUAUCUGGAGGAACAUCAGUGGCGAAGGCGACUAUCUGGCACAUAACUGACGCUGAGGAGCGAAAGCGUGGGUAGCAAACAGGAUUAGAUACCCUGGUAGUC